rnacentral:rRNA from 1 species
GCUGACGAGCGGCGGACGGGUGAGUAAUGCAUAGGAAUCUGCCCGAUAGUGGGGGAUAACCUGGGGAAACCCAGGCUAAUACCGCAUACGUCCUACGGGAGAAAGGGGGCUCCGGCUCCCGCUAUGGGAUGAGCCUAUGUCGGAUUAGCUAGUUGGUGAGGUAACGGCUCACCAAGGCCACGAUCCGUAGCUGGUCUGAGAGGAUGAUCAGCCACAUCGGGACUGAGACACGGCCCGAACUCCUACGGGAGGCAGCAGUGGGGAAUAUUGGACAAUGGGGGAAACCCUGAUCCAGCCAUGCCGCGUGUGUGAAGAAGGCCCUCGGGUUGUAAAGCACUUUCAGCGAGGAAGAACGCCUAGCGGUUAAUACCCGUCAGGAAAGACAUCACUCGCAGAAGAAGCACCGGCUAACUCCGUGCCAGCAGCCGCGGUAAUACGGAGGGUGCAAGCGUUAAUCGGAAUUACUGGGCGUAAAGCGCGCGUAGGUGGCUUGAUAAGCCGGUUGUGAAAGCCCCGGGCUCAACCUGGGAACGGCAUCCGGAACUGUCAAGCU